GAGUUUGAUCAUGGCUCAGAGCGAACGCUGGCGGCAGGCCUAACACAUGCAAGUCGAGCGCCCGUAGCAAUAAAAAAAAAACAGACGGGUGAGUAACGCGUGGGAACGUGCCCUUUAGUUCGGAAUAACCCAGGGAAACUUGAGCUAAUACCAAAUACGCCCUUCGGGGGAAAGAUUUAUCGCUAAAGGAUCGGCCCGCGUAAGAUUAGCUAGUUGGUGAGGUAACGGCUCACCAAGGCUAUGAUCUUUAGCUGUUCUGAGAGGAAGAUCAGCCACACUGGGACUGAGACACGGCCCAGACUCCUACGGGAGGCAGCAGUGGGGAAUAUUGGACAAUGGGCGCAAGCCUGAUCCAGCCAUGCCGCGUGAGUGAUGAAGGCCUUAGGGUUGUAAAGCUCUUUUACCAGGGAAGAUAAUGA
rnacentral:rRNA from 1 species